ACCUGAUAUAAAGCCGUUCUAUAAAAAUUCAAGACAACAAGAAAGCAAGAAAACGAUAGCGAUCGGUUUGGGAGCGUCACGGGGGGGGAGAAGUCUUUCAAGGACCCGGCUUCGUAGACAGGGGUUCGUGGACGAGAAAGAAUAGAAUCAAGGGCAUGCCCGACCCGAGCUACUAGGCCAGGGCCAGAGGAGAGGAACUAUUUCAAGCAAGGAUGCUAUGACCUCAGACUUGAGACCGAUUCAAAGAUAUAGGAAUGAAUGAAUCCAAUGUUAUCUAUACCGUGUUUUUGGGCUGUCAUAAUGUGACAGUUUCGACUUCCAUCGGUCGACUUCUGUCGUCUCUGUCUAUCCGUUUAGGGAAUGGGCUUAUUCAUUCCGAUUUCUGUAAAUACUUCUGUGUCAAUAUCUCCCCCAGCCUCGGUUUAAAAAGCUCCUGCCCUUCUUGCGGGCUCUCAGUGAUCAAAUCUGGUUUUGGGAGUUGCCGGUGUGAAUCCCGUUCGUUCCUUUCUUUCUUUGCCGGGUCAAGGAGAUUGGUUGGGUUCUUUGCUUGCUUAUUCCACUUCUUUCAGUGGGAGGAUUUUCAUCAUCAGCAGCAGGUGGGCUUGGGCUCAGUUCAUCGAUUGCUGUGGAUUCUGUUUCAGUAGAAGAUUCUAUUCAUGAGGAGUGAGGAGUAGCGGUUCGCGUUCUUUCAAUAGUAGUUCUCUCUCCCCUUCAUCUAAUCCGAUCUCUUGGUUGGUCUGGUCCUUCCAUGAGGAAAAGGCUCGCAAUGGCUUGAUUCUUUUAGUGAAAACGUGAGCCGAGGCUCUGCUCUCUUCUGGGUCUAGGUAUGUGAUAAAGGUUCUCAAAAGGGCAUUCUUUUUUAGUAUAGUAACAUCUGCCCCUCCUUUAAUGAUAGUCUUUCUUUCUUUCUUUCCUAGCCAGUCUCCUCAAGGCUUGGUCCAAGCGGAAGAAGGGCUGUGCUAGUGAAUCGAGAUGCGAGAUGCUAGUUUAUCGAAAAGUCUUUUACAGUAUUAUUGAAGUGAACUUUCAGCAAUAGCCGAGUUCA
rnacentral:misc_RNA from 1 species